CACCAUUCUACUCUGUUUCUGUGAGUUUGACUAUUUUAGAUGCCUCAUAUCAUCACGAAGUAUGUAUAUGAGCUCCUGGAAAAGGAUUGUAAUUUGAAAAAAGUAUCUAUUCCAGUAGAUGCCACUGAGAGUGAACCAAAGAGUUUUAUCUUUAUGAGUGAGGAUGCUUUGACAAAUCCACAGAAACUGAUGGUUUUAAUUCAUGGUAGUGGUGUUGUCAGGGCAGGGCAGUGGGC
rnacentral:lncRNA from 10 species